rnacentral:rRNA from 1 species
AGAGUUUGAUCAUGGCUCAGAUUGAACGCUGGCGGCGUGCCUAACACAUGCAAGUCGAACGAGAAAGUGGUAGCAAUACCAUGAGUAAAGUGGCGCACGGGUGAGUAACACGUGACUAACCUACCCUGGAGUGGGGGGAUAACUGAGGGAAACCUUAGCUAAUACCGCAUAAUACCCACGGGUCAAAGGAGCAAUUCGCUCUGGGAGGGGGUCGCGGCCGAUUAGUUAGUUGGCGGGGUAACGGCCCACCAAGACGAUGAUCGGUAUCCGGCCUGAGAGGGCGCACGGACACACUGGAACUGAAACACGGUCCAGACUCCUACGGGAGGCAGCAGUGGGGAAUUUUGCGCAAUGGGGGAAACCCUGACGCAGCAACGCCGCGUGGAGGAUGAAGUCCUUCGGGACGUAAACUCCUUUCGAUCGGGACGAUUAUGACGGUACCGGAAGAAGAAGCCCCGGCUAACUUCGUGCCAGCAGCCGCGGUAAUACGAGGGGGGCGAGCGUUGUUCGGAAUUAUUGGGCGUAAAGGGUGCGUAGGCGGCUUGGUAAGUCUUAUGUGAAAUCUAUGGGCUCAACUCAUAGACUGCAUGAGAAACUGCCGGGCUCGAGUGUGGGAGAGGUGAGUGGAAUUCCCGGUGUAGCGGUGAAAUGCGUAGAUAUCGGGAGGAACCCUAUGGCGAAAGCGGCUCACUGGACCACAACUGACGCUGAUGCACGAAAGCUAGGGGAGCAAACAGGAUUAGAUACCCCCGUAGUCC